rnacentral:RNase_P_RNA from 1 species
CGAGUCAGUUAGGCAAUCGCUCACCUUAAGGUGGGAGGAAAGUCCGGGCUCCAUGGGUAAAGUGCCAGGUAACACCUGGGCGGUGCGAGCCGACGGAAAGUGCCACAGAAAAUAAACCGCCAGCUGCAAAGCAUGGUAAGGGUGAAAAGGUGCGGUAAGAGCGCACCGCAUAAUUGGUAACAAUUUAUGGCAUGGUAAACCCCGCUUGGAGCAAGACCAAAUAGGAACUCAUAAGUUAAUUCAAUUUAACUUAAAGCGUUACCCGCGCUGAGUUUGGGUAGGUUGCUUGAGGCAUUUGGUGACAAAUGCCCCAGAUAAAUGAUUGUCCACGACAGAACCCGGCUUAUCGACUGACUCAUUUU